rnacentral:lncRNA from 1 species
UUAUGAUGGUGUUUAUGUUUUAAUUAUUUUAUUUUCGGAUUCCUAUAUAAGCCCAUAUGAAGCUUCAGUAUAAAACCCCCUCUUUAAUUAUGCACACCAUCACCAGGCCACCCCUUGCACCAACCAAGCAAGGGGUGACCUAUCUAGGGUCUUGAUUCUAUGCUGAUGCUGCUUUCUUUUUCUUCCACGCUUUCUUUCGUAUCAUUUGCUUGAAGGGAAGUACUUUCUCUUAUAGGGCAGCUUCGAUCCUUUGGCAUUUCGGUUUCCACGGCAGCUUCUGGUUUUUACUUCAUUAUAUGAUGUGUAAAGCUCGAAUAAACCUUCACCUAGGUCGAAUCAGAUUAUGCAAUCUUUUGCUGUUUUCUUUGGUACUUUUCUAUCUUAGUUAAAUAUUUGUAUAUUAUCAGUGGCCAAUGUUUCAGUGGGAUGCAGACUGCGGCUUAGUUUGUAUUAUCACUCGGCAUUGAUCUCUGUUUUGUACUUUAAAAACUAGAUUUGGGUCUGUGCUUAGUUGUGGCUUUUUCUUUAACAUAUUUGAAAUUGAUGCACAUAAAUGUGAAUGAACUAUGGAACUGAAAUAAAUUUAUGCAAAGGUAAUUGCAAAACAAAGUAGUUCAUAUUCUAUCCGACUAUACUAACAGAGUUUUUUUUUUUUUUUGGUGUUUGAUUAAAUCAUUAUUUAAAAUUUUAGAAUAAAACUAUUAAAAAUAAAUCAUAUCUAAGGAUUGAACUGAGAUUAGUAAAAUUAGGUAAAUAUAUGCUGUUUUAUCACUCAUCUUAUAAUUCAAUUGAUGAAUAAAUUCUUUUAUAAAUAUAUACAAUUUUUGUAUCUGUUGGUGUGUUGGUAAAAGUACUAGGAAAGCUCCUGUACAUAUGGAUAGAUUGCAUUUCGGCCCCUUUACUAAAAAAUGAACAAAUUAAUCAUUGUACAUUUCGAAACAUGCAAAUUAGUCCCUCUGUUAAAUUUUAUCUAUUAAAUGAUGACAUGGAACAUUAAUUUAAAUGGUUAAUUACUAAUUUGGUCCUUAAAGUAGAGCUAAAAAUCAUUUUUAUUUUUUUAAAAAAAAUUCUUAACAAUAAUUCUAAUUUUUUAAAAAAAUUAAAAAUAAGUAUAAAUAUUAAAAAUAUAAAAAAAUUUAUGUUAAAACAAAAUCAAACCCAAAUUUAUUAAAGCCAAAAAUUACAUUUGAAGAAACUUUUUUUGGUGAAUCAUUGUGGUUUUUUUUUUUUUUUGAAUAAUUGAGCUCUCUUUCAAUAAUGGGGAAACAUGUAACACCCUAGCACCUGAACCAGUCGCCAGAUAUAAAUGUAUGUUGUCACAUUACGUUGUCAAAGUAACUCAGGCUAACUUACUACUUAACCACAUCAUACAAUGAACAAUUAUCAUAUCAAUCCUUUUAUUCAUCCAACAUAUUUAUACACAUCCAUACUUAGUGUAUAAAAUCUUAAUUUAUCAAGUUACGGGGUUAUGUUAAGUCAAUUUGAGAGUUAGGAUUCAAAUUCAAACUCAAUUAUCAAAUUUCAAUGUUGUGUCUCGAGACAGGGAACUUCAUGUCUUGACACAGGCCCUAUGUUAUUUUUACUUUUUGACAAUUUUAUCUUCGAUACUAACAAGUCUUGAGACACUAGGAGUUGUGUCUCGAGGCAAGGUCUACAGAAAGUCCCAUGGAGGUCAAUUGAUUAAACAGGGCUCAUCUGACCCCCUUAAAUCGGCCUGACUCGUGGAACAUAUAGAGAAGCCCAUCUACUUGAAGCAUUGGUGGCCCAUUGAAACACUCUAGUAAAACUAGAGUUACCAGGGUAAUUAUUGUAAAUCCAAAGGGAUAAAGAUGUAUAGAGUUUAAAUCCCUUAGGACUCUCGCUUUGUAGAUAGGCACAAAUCUCACCUUUGAUGUAAUUUGAUCUGUACUGCAAGAUCACUCAAUUGAAAACUUUCAAAGUAAUAGAAUACUUUUGAGAGCAUUUACUCAAACACUUGGUGUGCACUAUUUUUUUGUGGCUUUUUGGUUCAUUAGUGGUUUUUUUCCAUUUCAAGUUUACUUCCACUUUACUUCUGUGCUUUAGAUAAUUUAUGCGAGAAUUCUCAUUUUUCACGUAUAAGGCUAACUUAGGUGGAUUUGAACCUAAGAAAUCGCGUAAGGCGGUUUGCCAGACUAAAGUUCUACCCCUGUGGUAGUUGGUAUUCGAGCUAAUGUUUGAAGGUACCGAUUAAGAUGACAAAAGGAGUAGACAAGCAAAAUGCCCCAAUGGAGACCUGUGGGAGGUCCAGGAAAAAUAGUAGAUUGAGGGAUAUACUAUUGUCUUUGGAAAAUCAAGUGAUCAAUCUGGAGAAGUCCAUGCGGGAUAUGAGGAAGACCUUUGAGGUAGUUGAAGGAUGCACCGAUGAGUUGGACUUGAUGAAAUAACAACUCAGGGACUAUGUGGUGAAGGCUCUUAGUGCCAAUCAGGAUGUGAUAAAAAAAGGCUCUCAAUACUGCCAGG